CCCUUUGAUACUCUGGGCGGCACGCGCGCUACAAUGGAUAAUACAACGUGUUACGUAACCGAAAGGUUAUGUAAAUCACAAAUGUUACGUCUUGAAUGGGAUAGUUUAUUGCAACUACAGACUUGAACUAGGAAUCCCUUGUAGGUACACUGAAGCAUAGUGUACCGAAUACGUCCCUGCCGUUUGUACACACCGCCCGUCGUUUCUUCCGACUGAUACUCAUUGUGAAUUACGAGGAUGCGUUAGCAAAAUCGUUGUAAAUGCUGGGUAUUGGAGGAAGAAAAAGUCGUAACA
rnacentral:rRNA from 1 species